GACGAACGCUGGCGGCAUGCUUAACACAUGCAAGUCGAACGGAAAGGCCCUGCUUUUGUGGGGUGCUCGAGUGGCGAACGGGUGAGUAACACGUGAGUAACCUGCCCUUGACUUUGGGAUAACUUCAGGAAACUGGGGCUAAUACCGGAUAGGAGCUCCUGCUGCAUGGUGGGGGUUGGAAAGUUUCGGCGGUUGGGGAUGGACUCGCGGCUUAUCAGCUUGUUGGUGGGGUAGUGGCUUACCAAGGCUUUGACGGGUAGCCGGCCUGAGAGGGUGACCGGCCACAUUGGGACUGAGAUACGGCCCAGACUCCUACGGGAGGCAGCAGUGGGGAAUAUUGCACAAUGGGCGGAAGCCUGAUGCAGCAACGCCGCGUGCGGGAUGACGGCCUUCGGGUUGUAAACCGCUUUCGCCUGUGACGAAGCGUGAGUGACGGUAAUGGGUAAAGAAGCACCGGCUAACUACGUGCCAGCAGCCGCGGUGAUACGUAGGGUGCGAGCGUUGUCCGGAUUUAUUGGGCGUAAAGGGCUCGUAGGUGGUUGAUCGCGUCGGAAGUGUAAUCUUGGGGCUUAACCCUGAGCGUGCUUUCGAUACGGGUUGACUUGAGGAAGGUAGGGGAGAAUGGAAUUCCUGGUGGAGCGGUGGAAUGCGCAGAUAUCAGGAGGAACACCAGUGGCGAAGGCGGUUCUCUGGGCCUUUCCUGACGCUGAGGAGCGAAAGCGUGGGGAGCGAACAGGCUUAGAUACCCUGGUAGUCCACGCUGUAAACGGUGGGUACUAGGUGUGGGGUCCAUUCCACGGGUUCCGUGCCGUAGCUAACGCUUUAAGUACCCCGCCUGGGGAGUACGGCCGCAAGGCUAAAACUCAAAGGAAUUGACGGGGCCCCGCACAAGCGGCGGAGCAUGCGGAUUAAUUCGAUGCAACGCGUAGAACCUUACCUGGGUUUGACAUGGAUCGGGAGCGCUCAGAGAUGGGUGUGCCUCUUUUGGGGUCGGUUCACAGGUGGUGCAUGGCUGUCGUCAGCUCGUGUCGUGAGAUGUUGGGUUAAGUCCCGCAACGAGCGCAACCCUUGUUCACUGUUGCCAGCACGUUAUGGUGGGGACUCAGUGGAGACCGCCGGGGUCAACUCGGAGGAAGGUGGGGAUGACGUCAAGUCAUCAUGCCCCUUAUGUCCAGGGCUUCACGCAUGCUACAAUGGCUGGUACAGAGAGUGGCGAGCCUGUGAGGGUGAGCGAAUCUCGGAAAGCCGGUCUCAGUUCGGAUUGGGGUCUGCAACUCGACCUCAUGAAGUCGGAGUCGCUAGUAAUCGCAGAUCAGCAACGCUGCGGUGAAUACGUUCCCGGGGCU
rnacentral:rRNA from 1 species